UUGUGCAUUUAUUCUGUAGAAGAUAAUUGACAGGGAAAUCCCUUAUGCAACUAUAAUAAAUAACCUUCUGGCUACUUAAGCUAAAAAAAUAAUUACAUUUGAUCGGAUGCAAAGCAAUUGCAGAGUAAACAAAGCUAUUAAUAGUGCUAUCUAUUGUACGGUUUGUUCUUCUCAACACCCUUUUUUCCCCAUUUCCAAUUCAGCGUAACAAAUGGAGGCAAAACAACUCUGGCGAGAAAGCUGAAGAAACUGCUUCCCAGUUGUACUAUAAUUUCCCAAGAUAACUUUUUUAAGGUAACAAGCUUAAGAAAAACUUUACAGUUUGAGUGAAUAUUUUGUUCCAUUGCAGAAGUGGAUUUAAGUUUUUUUUUAUUCCAGUGCCCACAAAGCUUCCCUCUGCCCUACAGUUAAGUCUGUGCGCUGAUGAACAUCAGAAGUUAAUAUGACUCACCAGCCUGAAUCUGAAGUGGCCAGAGAUGAUCGUGGAUUUCUGCAGUAUGAUGUACUUGAUGCCUUGUACAUGGAGACAAUGGUGGCAAGCAUACGUUCUUGGAUGACAAAACCAGAAGACUCUGCAUUACCAAGAUCACCCAAUAAUACACAUGAUGAUCAGACAGGAGCAAAAGAUUUUCGGGUCUUAAUUAUUGAAGGUUUCCUUCUGUUUAACUACAAGCCCCUUAGUGAUAUAUGGGAUAAAAAAUAUUUCUUAACAAUUCCUUAUGAAGAGUGUAAAAGGCGAAGAAGCAACAGAAUAUACAGUCCACCAGACCCACCUGGUUACUUUGAUGGACAUGUGUGGCCCAUGUAUCAGAAACACAGGAGAGAAAUGGAAGAAAAUGGAAUGAGCAUUGUUUACUUGGAUGGGACAAAAUCACAGGAAGACCUCUGUUCAAGGAUAUAUAAUGAUACAAUGGAGGCAUUGGAAGAGAAUAUAUGUGAAAUCUGUUGAAAGCCUCUUGACAAACAUAAGCUGGUCCCACAGAAGUACAGGUUCAACUCUUCGUAUCCUUGGACAGCUAUUAUUUCGUUGUGUGAUCUAAGACCAUCCCUCUCCAAUAAAUCCUGCUGCAGGUGAGCAAGGCAUUGUUAUGCAUGCAUAAAUAGGGUUCCCAGCCUGGAUAGUUUCAUAACAACCACUUAACUUCCUUCAUGAAUCACUGAAGAACAUCCCACACCUCCUUGCCAGUUGACAGAAAAGCAGUAAAAAUUAAAUGAAGAAAACUCAGCUCUUCUGUACUAUGGGAUAUAUUGGUUGUGGUUUGGUACCAAUUCAGUUGUUGCAAUUCUUCUAACUCCCUUUCUUCUUAAUAAAUAUUGUCAAAAACU